rnacentral:misc_RNA from 1 species
GAUGAAGAACGUAGUGAAAUGCGAUACUUGGUGUGAAUUGCAGAAUCCCGUGAACCAUCGAGUCUUUGAACGCAAGUUGCGCCCGAAGCCAUUAGGCCGAGGGCACGCCUGCCUGGGCGUCACACGUCGUUGCCCCCCCAUCUACUCCUUCGGGAUUGCGGGGGGCGGAUGAUGGCCUCUCGUGCGCCUCGUCGCGCGGUUGGCCUAAAUGCCAAGUCCUCGGCGACGCACGCCACGACAAUCGGUGGUGGCGAAACCUCGGUUGCCUGUCGUGUGCGGUCGUCGCGCAUCGAGGGCUCGAAAAAAUUGCCGGGCUUCGGCUCGACUUUCAACGCGACCCCAGGUCAGGCGGGGUUACCCGCUGAAUUUAAGCAUAUCAAUAAGCGGAGGA